rnacentral:rRNA from 1 species
UACGUAGGGCGCGAGCGUUGUCCGGAAUUACUGGGCGUAAAGCGCACGUAGGCGGCUAUUCAAGUCAGGGGUGAAAGCCCGGGGCUCAACCCCGGAACUGCCUUUGAAACUAGAUAGCUAGAAUCUUGGAGAGGUCAGUGGAAUUCCGAGUGUAGAGGUGAAAUUCGUAGAUAUUCGGAAGAACACCAGUGGCGAAGGCGACUGACUGGACAAGUAUUGACGCUGAGGUGCGAAAGCGUGGGGAGCAAACAGG